AUUGAACGCUGGCGGCAUGCUUUACACAUGCAAGUUGAACGGCAGCGCGGGCUUCGGCCUGGCGGCGAGUGGCGAACGGGUGAGUAAUACAUCGGAACGUGCCCAGUAGUGGGGGAUAGCUCGGCGAAAGCCGGAUUAAUACCGCAUACGACCUGAGGGUGAAAGCGGGGGAUCUUCGGACCUCGCGCUAUUGGAUCGGCCGAUGGCAGAUUAGCUAGUUGGUGGGGUAAAGGCCUACCAAGGCGACGAUCUGUAGCUGGUCUGAGAGGACGACCAGCCACACUGGGACUGAGACACGGCCCAGACUCCUACGGGAGGCAGCAGUGGGGAAUUUUGGACAAUGGGCGAAAGCCUGAUCCAGCAAUGCCGCGUGUGUGAUGAAGGCCUUCGGGUUGUAAAGCACUUUUGGCGGGAACGAAAAGGACUGUGCCAAUACCACGGUUCGAUGACGGUACCCGCAGAAUAAGCACCGGCUAACUACGUG
rnacentral:rRNA from 1 species